UAAUACGUAGGUGGCAAGCGUUAUCCGGAAUUAUUGGGCGUAAAGCGCGCGCAGGCGGUCUCUUAAGUCUGAUGUGAAAGCCCACGGCUCAACCGUGGAGGGUCAUUGGAAACUGGGAGACUUGAGUGCAGGAGAGAAAAGUGGAAUUCCACGUGUAGCGGUGAAAUGCGUAGAGAUGUGGAGGAACACCAGUGGCGAAGGCGGCUUUUUGGCCUGUAACUGACGCUGAGGCGCGAAAGCGUGGGGAGCAAACAGGAUUAGAUACCCUGGUAGUCCACGCCGUAAACGAUGAGUGCUAGGUGUUGGGGGGUUCCACCCUCAGUGCUGAAGUUAACACAUUAAGCACUCCGCCUGGGGAGUACGACCGCAAGGUU
rnacentral:rRNA from 1 species